CCAUGAGAGUCGAUAACACCCGAAGCCUGUGAGCUAACCGUAAGGAGGCAGCAGUCGAAGGUGGGGGUUGAUGAUUGGGGUGAAGUCGUAACAAGGUACC
rnacentral:rRNA from 1 species